CAGCAGCCGCGGUAAUGCGAAGGGUGCAAGCGUUAAUCGGAAUUACUGGGCGUAAGGCGUGCGUAGGCGGUUUGUUAAGUCUGUUGUGAAAUCCCCGGGCUCAACCUGGGAAUGGCAAUGUAUACUGGCAAGCUAGAGUGUGUCAGAGGAUGGUGGAAUUCCCGGUGUAGCGGUGAAAUGCGUAGAGAUCGGGAGGAACAUCAGUGGCGAAGGCGGCCAUCUGGGACAACACUGACGCUGAGGCACGAAAGCGUGGGGAGCAAACAGGAUUAGAUACCCCCGUAGUCCCUGUCUCUUAUAC
rnacentral:rRNA from 1 species